rnacentral:rRNA from 1 species
AUUGAACGCUGGCGGCAUGCCUUACACAUGCAAGUCGAACGGCAUCACGGACUUCGGUCUGGUGGCGAGUGGCGAACGGGUGAGUAAUACAUUGGAACGUGCCCAGUAAUGGGGGAUACCGCAGCGAAAGUUGUGCUUAUACCGCAUACGCUCUGAGGAGGAAAGUGGGGGAUCGCACGACCUCAUGAUAUUGGAGCGGCCGAAGGCUGAUUAGCUAGUUGGUGAGGUAAAGGAGCACAAAGGCGACGAUCAGUAGCUGGUCUGAGAGGACGACCAGCCACACUGUGACUGAGACACGGCCCAGACUACUACGGGAGGCAGCAGUGGGGAAUUUUGGACAAUGGGCGAAAGCCUGAUCCAGCCAUGCCGCGUGUCUGAAGAAGGCCUUCGGGUUGUAAAGGACUUUUGUCAGGGAGGAAAUCCCUAGUGCUAAUAACACUGGGGGAUGACAGUACCUGAAGAAUAAGCACCGGCUAACUACGUGCCAGCCGCCGCAGUAA